rnacentral:rRNA from 1 species
CAGUCGCCACGGUAAUACGUAGGGUGCGAGCGUUGUCCGGAAUUAUUGGGCGUAAAGAGCUUGUAGGCGGUUUGUCGCGUCUGCUGUGAAAAUCCGGGGCUCAACCCCGGACUUGCAGUGGGUACGGGCAGACUAGAGUGUGGUAGGGGAGACUGGAAUUCCUGGUGUAGCGGUGAAAUGCGCAGAUAUCAGGAGGAACACCGAUGGCGAAGGCAGGUCUCUGGGCCACUACUGACGCUGAGAAGCGAAAGCAUGGGGAGCGAACAGGAUUAGAGACCCGUGUAGUCCCUGUCUCUUAUAC